rnacentral:lncRNA from 10 species
CAGAAUAGAAUUUUCUCAAGGAUAUUUAAAAGAAGAAAGCAGCAUUUUCUAGUGGAUGAAGGGGUUUGAGCAGAGGGAGGUGGGAAUGUCAGGACCCUGGAGGACACAGGUGUCACCUGACCGUCAAGGAUAGGUCAGACACCAUACUGGUCAUUAUGGUAGGAGACACACUUGAAGCUGUUCACAGAGAGGAUGCCAAAAGCAGAGGCAUGUGAUGGAGAAUAAUGCAGGAGCUCAAAGAGCCUGUGGUGGGGAGUUGUAUGUGUCCACCUGGCUAGGAUGUAGCACACAGUUACUCAAUCC